ACGUUGGGAAAGCGAGCGGCGGAUGGGUGAGUAACACGUGGGGAACCUGCCCCUAAGUCUGGGAUACCAUUUGGAAACAGGUGCUAAUACCGGAUAAUAAAGCAGAUCGCAUGAUCAGCUUUUGAAAGGCGGCGUAAGCUGUCGCUAAGGGAUGGCCCCGCGGUGCAUUAGCUAGUUGGUAAGGUAACGGCUUACCAAGGCGACGAUGCAUAGCCGAGUUGAGAGACUGAUCGGCCACAUUGGGACUGAGACACGGCCCAAACUCCUACGGGAGGCAGCAGUAGGGAAUCUUCCACAAUGGACGCAAGUCUGAUGGAGCAACGCCGCGUGAGUGAAGAAGGUUUUCGGAUCGUAAAGCUCUGUUGUUGGUGAAGAAGGAUAGAGGUAGUAACUGGCCUUUAUUUGACGGUAAUCAACCAGAAAGUCACGGCUAACUACGUGCCAGCAGCCGCGGUAAUACGUAGGUGGCAAGCGUUGUCCGGAUUUAUUGGGCGUAAAGCGAGCGCAGGCGGAAAAAUAAGUCUAAUGUGAAAGCCCUCGGCUUAACCGAGGAACUGCAUCGGAAACUGUUUUUCUUGAGUGCAGAAGAGGAGAGUGGAACUCCAUGUGUAGCGGUGGAAUGCGUAGAUAUAUGGAAGAACACCAGUUGGCGAAGGCGGCUCUCUGGUCUGCAACUGACGCUGA
rnacentral:rRNA from 1 species